GAACCACUUUUAACGGCCGCGGUAUCCUAACCGCGCAAAGGUAGCAUAAUCACUUGUCCCCUAAAUAGGGACUAGCAUGAACGGCCAAACGAGGGCCUAACUGUCUCCUAUAGCCCACCAAUAAACCUGAUCUCUCCGUACAAAAGCUGAGAUAAACACAUAAGACGAGAAGACCCUGUGGAGCUUUAAGCCAUGCAUCAACACCAUCAUUGACAGCACGCUUUUAGUUGGGGCGACUAUGGAGCAAAACAAAACCUCCACGACACUACCACAACCCAAUUUAAGACCAACACGUCCAAAACAAGAACAUCAAGACCCAGUCCAACUGAUCGCCGAACCAAGUUACCCCAGGGAUAACAGCGCCAUCCUCCCCAAGAGUCCAUAUCGCCAGGAGGGCUUACGACCUCGAUGUUGGAUCAGGACACCCAGGUGGUGCAGCCGCUACCAAAGG
rnacentral:rRNA from 1 species